rnacentral:rRNA from 1 species
CCUACGGGAGGCAGCAGUAGGGAAUAUUGCUCAAUGGGGGCAACCCUGAUGCAGCAACGCCGCGUGGAGGAUGAAGGUUUUCGGAUUGUAAACUCCUUUUGUUAGAGAAGAUAAUGUCGGUAUCUAUCGAAUUAGCAACUGAUAACUCCGUUCCAGCAGCCGCGGUACUACGGAGGGUGCAAGCGUUACUCGGAAUCACUGGGCGUAAAGAGCGCGUAGGCGGGAUAGCAAGUCAGAUGUGAAAUCCUAUGGCUUAACCAUAGAACUGCAUUUGAAACUGUUAUUCUAGAGUAUGGGAGAGGUAGGUGGAAUUCGUGGUGUAGGGGUAAAAUGCGUAGAGAUCAAGAGGAAUACUCAUGGCGAAGGCGGCCUGCUAGAACAUAACUGACGCUGAGGCGCGAAAGCGUGGGGAGCAAACAGGAUUAGAUACCCGAGUAGUC